AGUGAACGCUGGCGGUAGGCCUAACACAUGCAAGUCGAACGGCAGCACAGUAAGAGCUUGCUCUUACGGGUGGCGAGUGGCGGACGGGUGAGGAAUACAUCGGAAUCUACUUUUUCGUGGGGGAUAACGGAGGGAAACUUACGCUAAUACCGCAUACGACCUACGGGUGAAAUCAAGGGAUCUUCGGACCUUGCGCGAUUGUAUGAGCCGAUGUCGGAUUAGCUAGUUGGCGGGGUAAAGGCCCACCAAGGCGACGAUCCGUAGCUGGUCUGAGAGGAUGAUCAGCCACACUGGAACUGAGACACGGUCCAGACUCCUACGGGAGGCAGCAGUGGGGAAUCUUGGACAAUGGGCGAAAGCCUGAUCCAGCCAUACCGCGUGGGUGAUGAAGGCCUUCGGGUUGUAAAGCCCUUUUGUUGGGAAAGAAAAGCAGCAGGUUAAUACCCCGCUGUUCUGACGGUACCCAAAGAAUAAGCACCGGCUAACUUCGUG
rnacentral:rRNA from 1 species